UUUUAACACUUAUUUUAUCUGUUCAUCUUUCUUUUCUUUACCUCCCUCCUUUCUUCUUUUUCUUCUUUAACCCUAGCCACCAUUGUUGGGAUUUAUGCCGCUAUCCGGUCUCGUCUUUGAAUGGCGUCGUCGGACUCCUCUUUUUCUUCUCUCAUCAAAUCUACGAUCAAAUUAUUUUAGUAAAAACUGGAAAGCCACGAAACUCCAAGUCAAAAGCUGAACCUCCCUUGGCGUGAUCUCCUUCGUUAGCUGCCGAAUUGGGCUACAAACUGGACCGGGGCCUCAUUGUACCUUCCUCUUCAUUACCAUCGUUCGGAUUCAUGAGACCCAUCGGAAAUUACUAUUUAAGGAGUAUUGUAAUUGUAGGUUGUAUAGACUUUAACCAUGGGAAUUUUUGUUUUUUAAUCCAAAAACGAACAUUGAACUAUCAUAAAUUUAAAUAG
rnacentral:lncRNA from 1 species